GAUGAACGCUGGCGGCGUGCCUAACACAUGCAAGUCGAGCGAACGGACGAGAAGUUUGCUUCUCUGAUGUUAGCGGCGGACGGGUGAGUAACACGUGGAUAACCUACCUAUAAGACUGGGAUAACUUCGGGAAACCGGAGCUAACACCGGAUAAUAUUUUGAACCGCAUGGUUCAAAAGUGAAAGACGGUCUUGCUGUCACUUAUAGAUGGAUCCGCGCUGCAUUAGCUAGUUGGUAAGGUAACGGCUUACCAAGGCAACGAUGCAUAGCCGACCUGAGAGGGUGAUCGGCCACACUGGAACUGAGACACGGUCCAGACUCCUACGGGAGGCAGCAGUAGGGAAUCUUCCGCAAUGGGCGAAAGCCUGACGGAGCAACGCCGCGUGAGUGAUGAAGGUCUUCGGAUCGUAAAACUCUGUUAUUAGGGAAGAACAGAUGUGUAAGUAACUGUGCACAUCUUGACGGUACCUAAUCAGAAAGCCACGGCUAACUACGUG
rnacentral:rRNA from 1 species